UUUGAUCUUAAUACAUAUUUGAUUGCAUAGUCAUAAAAAUAACAGAUUGCUUGGUGUAGAGUAGAUAGGUCAAUGAUAACGCUGUAUACUUGAACAAGGUCAGAAUGAGCCUUGAACAAUGCAAGUAUCUUAGCUGUAUGUGAAGAUACAAUGGUUAACUCUUGAAGUACCAGCAACCUUCCUGAUGAUGCAAUCACUAAAUGUUAUCACUGCAUAAUGCCUAGUGUUAUACCAUAUACAUAGCUACCUCUUGAUAGUUUUUUUUUUUUAAUUAAACAUUAUAUACCUUAACAGAAAACACUUUUAACUCUUUGAAUGACAGGUGGCUGAAAAUUGUAUUAAACUGCAUCCUAGCCAUAUUUUAGAUAUUGUUUAAACUAAUGCCAGGUAAUUUAAAGACACAAAACACAGACACAGAACCAGCUCCAAAAUCUGUCAUAACACAAACAUCUGGUAAAAUGUAUUUAUGCCUUUAUUCGUUUGACCUUGAUAUGAUUAAUACCUCCAUUUACAGGCACCUUUCAUUGAAGAAAAGCACAGUCUAAUUAUGUCAUCAUUCAUUGCCCUCCCUUAUAAGUGGUCUAAUGAGCCAUGACUUAAGCUCAUAGCUUAUUCCUUAAUUCCGCAGACCUGCUUUAAAAACAAUAAGAAAAAAAACCCCUUUAUUAUUCCCCUACAUGUGAUAGUCACAUAUUUAUGCACAUAUAGAAUACAGUAUCCGUCGGCAGCCCUCUCUAAAACUGCAUUAGAAAUCGGAAAUCUUAAUUAUAUUCUGC